rnacentral:lncRNA from 1 species
CCCGCCCCCAGCCGCUCGGGAGGCCCGGGUUCCUUGAUGCUGCCACAGCAGUGCCCACUCGGCUCAGGCACCAGGGAGGACAGCAAGAGCCACUGACCAGGAAGGAGGGGGCCCAGCCAGCCGCGGGGAGAGGCCGGCCGGGGUCCAGGGGCCCUGUCCUCCCAAGAGCAGGUCGCAUGGCCAUCGUAGGUGCGUGGCCCAGGGCCCUGUCUCCCGCAGCCUGUGCACAGAACCGCUGUUCAUGUAGCUUGUGUGUGACAGCAGAAUCCUGGGGUGUCCAAAUGGGAGAGGGAUGGAGGGACGCUGCGGCCGUCCACCCGGCCUGGACGCCCUGCUGCUCGGGUGAAGUGUGUUCCUGACGCAGCAACGACUCGGAUAAACGUGGGCCAGGGGGCCGUCAGGGCUGAGCCAGGAGCAGCCGCCAGGAAGGGAAGACCACGCCCCCAGCACCUGAUUGACAGCUGGAGAGCGCACAGCGCCGUCUUCUGCCCGGCCAGCAGAGGGCAGCGUUCCAGAGGGUCCCUGAGUGAGAGUGGCAGAGAGUGUCCGCGGACCCCGGAGGGACAAAUGAACCAUUGUCCUUUUAAGUCCUGUGCUCUUCUCCCCUCUCUCUCUGAGGCUUGAUGGAGAGAUGAUCCGCAGACCAUCCGAAGGACACAUACAGAGUCAGAUAAACCAGCCCAGACUAUUUUCUUCAUCCCAAAGAGAUGGAGGCCCCGCUAGCAGCUGUUUCCCACUCUUCCCCACCCCAGCCACAGGCAGCACUAAUCUACCUUCGGGCGCUGUGGAUUUUGCCUAUUCAGACAAAAUGGGAUCAUGUGACCUGGGAUCUGUUAAGACUGGCCUUUUCCACUCAGCAUCAUGGUGCGUGUCAUAGUAGGUGUUGGUGCUCAUCCCUUUUCGUGGCUGAAUAAUAUUCCACUUAAGCAUUUGCUGGACACCUAGGUUGCUUCUGCUUUGGGGGUGGUAGGGCGUUCCUGCGCACAGUUUUGUGUGGAUAUGUGUUUUUAUUCCUCUGGGUCAUGGGAACUGCUGGAUCAUGUGGUACCUCUGACCAAUGCUAUUUUUUGUUGUUGUUGUAGAUGAACACAAUAUCUUUACUUUUAUCUGUCUAUUUUUUAUGUGGGCCUGAGGAUGGAAACCAGGGCCUCACGGGCGAGGCGAGUGCUGUGCCGCUGAGCCCCACCCAGCCCUGCUGCACUUGGAGCUGGGGCCUGAGGUCCCGAGCGUCACCCUGCCUUCUAGCAGGACUUGCAGGGUCUCAUCCUUUGCGCCCAGGCCCAGGCUCGAGUUGAGGGGACUUUCGUGCCUGACGUGUGGCGCUUUGAGAUCGCUUUGAAAAAAGAAAAAAAAUCAGAGGAAAAUAAAAAGCAGAAAAGUAUUUCUAAAAAGAUUCUUUAGGUCUGUCCAUCAACUUGAGGAAUGUUUCCACGUCCGUGAUUCUGUCUUCUCCUGCAAACCGCUCUAGGAUGAAUAGAGAAGUACCCGAUGCACCGUGAACGAAUGGCUGAUCCCUGCCCCCGGAAGAGUUUAUAGGAUCAUUAACAGCAGGACCGAGGCCCAUGACAGGCUGCGGGAGAACCGAUGACACACAGAGGCCAUUUGGUGCACGGCCACCGUGAU